ACAGCUAUUACAGAUCUGUUCUCUUGCAAAUCCAGUAUGUGCCUCUGCCCUUCUGGGUACUCCAUCAACAGGUCCCCCCAGCCCAGUGACCUUUUAUUACACUGUCUGGAAUGCUCUUAAAAACAUUUCAUCACAGUCAGUAGGAUAUUGUGUGUGUGCCAGUUCAUUUAAAUUACAACUCUAGAAACGUCAGUUGCCCUAAUAAAAAAUGGCGUGUCCAGCGGUGGUCUGGUGGAGUUAAAGUUGAAAGCCAGCACUCCCCAGACAGCUAUGAGUGCAUCUGCUACCUGAGUGCCCCCCUCCAACCUGUCCCAUGCUCACCAGCGCACUCAGCGUCAGGGAGGGAUCUUUACUAGUUAAAGAUGGUGGCCUCGAAAACUCAUCAUUCCAUGACGAAUGUUAGAAAUAGUUUCUAAUUUCCCUUGAAAUUAUAGGUAUGUGUACUGGUGAGAUUAUUGUAGGAUACCCCCACUCUAAUCCUGAGAGAUCAGCUGCCUUCCCCUUCACAACGCAGGGAGGACUGGGUCCCUCACCUUUGGGGACUAGCCAUCAGGGGGUUUCUGCUUGCCAAUGGAAACACCAGACAGGCUGCCUCCCAAGCUGUCCAUAUCUUCUAAUUACACCAGAGCGCCUCAAAGCAGAGAGAACCAGAACUGUGCUGAUCUUACAUAACAAACCAAUUCUCUCUCUUGUGCUUUUUUUGCUAAUGAGCAUUGUAUAGCAAAUAUCCCAAAUGGGUAGCAAAAUUUGGUCUGAGAUUUGCUUUCAUGAAAACCUACAUUGAGAUUACAGAAUAGCUAACUCUCAGCCACCUCUGAACUUUUUGGAGGCUACAUUAUCUACCAGAAAGAACUUGACUGCCUUGGGUCAGUUUAUACAGCUUACCCAUUGUUAUUCUCCAGACUGGCCGGACCUGUUUAUCUGACUCACCCCUUCUCGAAUGGCCUGCCCCGCUCUAGGCUUUCCUCGGAGCCCCACCACUAGAAGACCACCUCCUUCUGUGGAAAGCCUUCCUCACCUGAGGUCUUUACUUUGUGCCCUGAAAUCAAGGACGGGAGAACCAUGCGAGGCUCCGGUCCCCUCACCACUCUCUCUGUGGCAACAUUUUCUGGAUCUAAGCACCGUAACUGUUCCCCAAGCUCUUAGGCACAAGGACCCCUCUCUGUCACCCUUGCUCAUUGUGCUGCUUAGUUUUAAGUGUUGAGUUAAGUGGAUUGAGGAACACCUAGAGAACAGGUAGAGCAUUUCUGGUUGUGUCUGUGUGGGUGUGUCCAAAGGAGAUGGAUGUGGGAUUCAGUGGACAGAGUGGGCAGAUUCACCCUCAGUGUGGGUGGGUACCAUCCAGUCAGCUAGGGACACAGAGAAGAACUCCAACAAGGCAAAGACAAGGCAAUUUCUUUUCUUUUCUUUCUUUCCUCCCUCUACCCCCUCCCCCAGGAAGCUGGGACAUGUUUCUUCUCCUGUGCAUAUACAUCAGAACUCCAGGCUCUCUGGCUUCUGGCCUCUAGAAUUCGUGCUAGUGACCCUUCGGCUCUCAGGCUUUCAGCCCUGGCUUCCCUGGGUCCCUGGCCUUGGACUGAGCCACACUAUUGGCCUCCCAGAAUCUCCAGCCUGUCAACAAGAUGCUGUCAGAUUUCUCUACCUCCACAGUAUCACGAGACAAUUCCUGUAAUAGAUCUCCUCCCAUCAUCUACCUACCUACCAAUUCACCCAUCUCCCUUUUUAUCUGUCUUCUGUUGGUCCAGUUGAUCCGGGGAACCCUGACUCACACCCAUUAUUUUGCAUCUCCCUGAGCAAUGAGCUCGACCUAUGAACACAGAGUCUGGUUAAGUACACCCAGUGCUCCUGCAUCUACUGUGUGCACAACAGCAUUGGGGUUAAAAAGAGAGACCACAGAAUGGCUUUGAUGAAUAAGAAAUCACCCAGGAGAAGCGUCUGAAUGCCAAAGACUCCAAAGUGCACAUUUGUCAGUGAGCCUCUGCACGCACACAUUUUACAGGGAAAACAUUCUCAUUGUCAAAUUUCUAGAAUACCAGGAAAGGUUGUUUCUCUAGAAGGCUAAGGGUGUUCUUAAUUUUUCCCCUAGCUGAUUAUUGAAAGGGAAGUAAUAUAAUUAUUCCUAAAGAAAACUGGAUGUGCAAUUGGUAAGUUCAAGUUAACAAUCCACCACUGGGUAUGUAACUUCAGGCAAAUUAUUUAAUUUCUUUGAGCUUCCAGAGGCUCAUAUCUAAAAUGGAAAUUCUGUUUACCCCACAGGUCAUUGUGAAGGUUGAAUAAGUAAAGGUCUCUGUGUAUUCUAAAAUGCUACAUGAGUAUAAGGCGUUAUUAUUUUCACGUAUUCAUAUGGGGGAGCACCAAGACCAUGUUAAUAUGCUUAUUUAAGCCAGAAAAGCCCAUUAAAUGUACCCACAUAACCUAUUAGAAUCUCUAAACAAGACAUUACCUUUUAAAGUUUCUUCUCAGGUGAAAAAUGCUGCAUUUCUGAAAGCUUUUGUUUUAUUUAUUAAAAUAGGUGGUGAAUACAGAAUUUCUCAUAGACUAGCUACCUUACAUCUGGCACUUUCUCAUUUUUUUCCAAAGUAGAGACAGUGGUAAUAAAUCAGAAGCAAUACACAGCUCAUUUAUGUGGGCAGUCCAGGUAAUUCUAGGAGUGCUGUGUGAAUUUCUGGAGCCAGAAUGUGCGGGCAGACCUGCCCGUGCUCACGCUGUCCAUUAGCAUGCAAACUGUACAGCUGUACGUCCACAGCAGAGCAGGGCAAGGCCUGGGGUUUUCAACUUCACUCACUUUCCUGGAAUGGCAAGCAGCCAUGUAGUAUAUUUCUGCCUAAAGACAAGUUUUAUGGGAUCAUAUGUUCCUAUUCUUAGGAGGGCUCUUUUUUUUUCUGAAUUAACAUUAGAAAGAAGCCAUUUGGCUUUAUUAAGCAUGUUUCUUCCACUUUUGUAGAUUAAGCAGCUCAAAAUGUGCUAGGAAGAUGAUGAAUGCUACUCAACAAUUAAUAUGAAGGGAAUAGAAGAUAAAAUCACUAGGACCCUGCAGAUUAAAGAGCACAUUUUCUGUUUUAGAUUGAUAUAUAAAUAUAACAGUUAAAGACAAAAAGUGAGCUAAGGACAUAUCUUCAAUAUAUCCCCUCAAAUUUUAACUUUAAUUAAUCUGAAUUUCAUAACAAUGUGUUUUCUAAUUACAAAGGAACUUGCUGGAGAAUUCUAAAUAGGACACUUACUGUUCUCAAGUCGUCUUUCUGUUUCUAAGGACUAAGUUUUAAACUAUUAAUACAUAUCUUAUCUUAGGUUAAUUAAGUGGGCAAAUUUCCUUGCCUAACAAUGGUUUAUAAUUUUCUAAUACAGUUUAAGCUCUAAAAUAGCCAUCUAAGAUAAAUGUACCUCUUGCCCUAAAUGUGUCUGCUCCUAUUAUUAUCAGUGGGGAAAACUUGAGACUAAAUUACUGGGUAAGAAGUGCACAAUUCUCAGACAACAAGGGCCCCAGAUCUUAAAGGGCCCCCACUUUGUGACCUGCACAUAUAAUCUUACCUUUGCAAGGCAUCCUCAGCUCUGGGUCCCGAGGUAAGAGGGGCUUUUUAAGUGAGAAGAACAAGGUGGAAGAGGUAUAUGUGUGUGUGACAUGUGUAUAUGUGUUAGCUCCCUCCUAAGCUAAUCCCAUUUUUGCUAGUAGAAAUUACUGUCCUCUGGUGACAAAAAAAGAAUGACAGGGUCCUUCCCACUUGACUUUGCUACUACCAAACGGCACAUCAUGAAAAUGGGUUUCAGGCAGAAUUCUGCCCUACAUACCAAUGUUCUUGACAAGCAGGCAUGACAUGAUCUGUUCCUAGGAGCAAUGCAGACCCAGGCCUCUGGAGUGCUUUGCAUGGACAAGACACAGAAUUCUCAGUCAAGAUGCAGGGACAAGAAAGGAAUGAAGCCCGAGACCAAGGUCAGCUCUCUACAGGAGAAUGCAUCAUCAGAUGCACCCUCCAGAGGCCCACAUCCCUGUCCAUGGAAGGGCAGGGCCUGAGCAGAGCUGAGCCAAACUGCACACCCCAACCUUUGUGAGCACCAUGCACCUCCCUCAGCAAGAGGUAGCUCCAUAAUCCUCCUGCUACGGAAGGAAUCUCCAGUGCAGAGCUUUGCAGAUGAAGGUGGUUGAGGACUUGGGGCCGGGCACACUGAACUGUGGGUUCUUUUGAGCAUCUUUAAAAUGCUACUGUGCCUGCCACGUGAGAUACUACACAUGCUGAUGAACCACCCCUUGGAUAUAGAGAGCAAAUAUCUUAGACCAUCUCUACCAAAGAACUACAAAGGAAACUUUACCAUCUAGGCUGGAGAAUGGAAUCUGGAAUCUGCUUAAGGUGUACGACCAAUCGGAAGAGUUCAGCGGGACAUUCUCUAGCCCGUUCCAAUAUUUGAAAGUGCAGUUUUUCUGAAUUAAGGUCACAAGGUGAUAUUUUCCCUUCCUAGUUUAACCAUAAAAGAGCCAAAUAGAUAAAGACAAAAAUGUUAAGAAAACAGGGUCUAACUAUGUAUUAAAAGAGUCUCCAUUUUAAGAAAUUUUUUUUCCUGAUUAAUAUCAAAAAGCUUUUAUAUAACUACUUUAUAUAUCUGUGGGACAUCUUUUGGAGAAAUAAUCAAAGUUAAGAUGUGUUCUAAUGAUGCCCAUGGGGUAGUGGCAUUGUUAAAAGGUGGCCCCUAGCCUGGGGUUCCAUUUCAAAAUGGGUCCGUCAAUUUUAUUGUACUUUAACUUCAAGAGCGCCACCAUGUCCAAGAACCUUCGGAUAGACUCACAGCCCACCACGCUUGCAGAGUACAAUUAGUUUACAUGAGAGGAAAAUAUGUGUUUUGUUGUAUGUUAGUUGUCACUCUAUCUAUCAGGGUCAGACCCUAGAUGUGGAGUGUCUCUCUCUUUGGAACUCAGUCUUCUCCCUUGGAGGGCAUGUUAUCUGGACACACACUCAUGGCACUUUAUCUAUUGGGUACCUCCAACACAGAAUCCCAAAGGGGACCUUAAGAAGCCUACAAAGAAAGGUUGGGCAUAAUAUCUGCUCUCAAGGAGAUUUGAUACUAUAUUUAAUUGGAAACCCAGAAAAAAAAAUGGCUGUGAAGGGUGGUGAAUGUUUCAACACAAAUGAAAUUCACAAUCCAGAAAUUAUGUCGAAGCUGGAAAAAAAGGAAUCACUGGAGGUUGGAUUGAUCAAAAAAAUAAAAAAUAAAAUAAGCUUCUUAUAGAAGGUCAUUCUGGUGGGACUCUGAGUUGACAAAGAAUCUGUUUGGACAGAGAGAAAAACCAUCACACUAGUAAGGAUAGGGCAUGAACAAAGCAACUUAGAUAUGGAAAAGGGCAUUUGCUCUUCUGGAAAGCAACAUGGCCAGAGGUGAAGGGUGGUGUCAAGAAAUAAUAAGGUCAAAAUGGC
rnacentral:lncRNA from 1 species